UUCCGCAAUGGACGAAAGUCUGACGGAGCAACGCCGCGUGAGUGAUGACGGCCUUCGGGUUGUAAAGCUCUGUUAAUCGGGACGAAAGGCCUUCUUGCGAACAGUUAGAAGGAUUGACGGUACCGGAAUAGAAAGCCACGGCUAACUACGUGCCAGCAGCCGCGGUAAUACGUAGGUGGCAAGCGUUGUCCGGAAUUAUUGGGCGUAAAGCGCGCGCAGGCGGAUCAGUCAGUCUGUCUUAAAAGUUCGGGGCUUAACCCCGUGAUGGGAUGGAAACUGCUGAUCUAGAGUAUCGGAGAGGAAAGUGGAAUUCCUAGUGUAGCGGUGAAAUGCGUAGAUAUUAGGAAGAACACCAGUGGCGAAGGCGACUUUCUGGACGAAAACUGACGCUGAGGCGCGAAAGCCAGGGGAGCGAACGGGAUUAGAUACCCCGGUAGUCCUGGCCGUAAACGAUGGGUACUAGGUGUAGGAGGUAUCGACCCCUUCUGUGCCGGAGUUAACGCAAUAAGUACCCGCCUGGGGAGUACGACCGCAAGGUUAAACUCAAAGGAAUUGACGGGGGCCCGCACAAGCGGUGGAG
rnacentral:rRNA from 1 species